UCCGGUUUGGCACCGGCGGUCUCCCAUGAGUCCCCGGCAUUACCCGCUGGCAACAUAGGACAAGGGUUGCGCUCGUUGCGGGACUUAACCCAACAUGUCACCACACGAGCUGACGACAGCCAUGCAGCACCUGUCUCUCUGUUGUAUUGCUACAAAAGCCCAAUCUCUUGGGUUGUCAGAGGAUGUCAAAUCCAGGUAAGGUUCUUCGCGUUGCUUCGAAUUAAACCACAUGAUCCACCGCUUGUGCGGGCCCCCGUCAAUUCCUUUGAGUUUUAGUCUUGCGACCGUACUUCCCAGGCGGGGUACUUAGUGCGUUAGCGCCGGUUCGGCGGGGGUCAAGACCCACCAAACCUAGUACCCAUCGUUUACAGCGUGGACUAC
rnacentral:misc_RNA from 1 species